UUUAUAUAUAAAAUAGGCUUUGUUUCUCUCCCAAGGUGUCCACCUCAGCUGCCAGCGCAUAAAUUCGAACUCCAUGGUGUCGACACGUGUCCUGAAAAUACAAAACGCAACACUUCAUCUAGGCUUCUUUGCUGCACACCGUUUCAUUUAAUCGCUUUUUAUGUUUGUUGGGCUUAUUCAUUUUCCCGUGUUUCUUUUACAUUUUUAUCCCAAUGGACCCGGUGGACCAUUAUCGAUCGUCAACCCUAAUUGUUCUUACGGGAGGAAUCUAGGAUCAGGUUCGUCUCUCCUCUUCUGUUCUGCUUCCCCGAUCUCUGAAACGGCCCGAUGGCUUCUGUGAUUAAUUCCAUUAACUCGAUCGGCCACGAUGGGGUCUCUUAAAUGUGUGGUUCACGUCGGCAGGGCGGUGUGUUUACGGUAUAAAUAUGUCAGUACUUAAGCUCUUCGAAUCAUCUUUUCUCUCAUCUCUUUUAGUACCAGAAAUUACUGUAGUAAAAAUUAUUGGUGAAGCGGCCUUACGACCACUGCCGUUUAGUGUGAAGCGGACUUCGUCGGAAGUGUAUGGCGAAGAUUAUCUGGGAGGAGAUGGAGUUGAGAUGAGGAUGAGAGCUCCUACUUCUCUUUGAAGAAAUUGAUCGACAACUCAAGACUAUUACUCGGUUAGCGACGGUGCUCAUGUCGAAGGAGCUUUCGUGAUGUUUGGUAUGCUCGCCGAUAUUUGUAAUCGGAAAGGCGACAAAAACGUAUAUCUUCUCACCUGAAUGCAGUGCCCGACUAAUCUCUCUCAAUCUAUAUGACUAUCUCUCAAUCUUUAUAUGAGUAUCUCUCAACCUCUUUCCCUUUAACUCCAUCAAUGUCUGCUUUUGUAGGAAACUCAUCACUUAAUCUAACUGAAAACUGAAAAGAUAAGUUUUUAA